CCUACGGGAGGCAGCAGUGAGGAAUAUUGCACAAUGGGCGAAAGCCUGAUGCAGCAACGCCGCGUGAGGGAAGAAGGUAUUCGUAUUGUAAACCUCUGUCAUUGGUGAAGAAAAAAAUGACGGUAGCCGAUGAGGAAGCCACGGCUAACUACGUGCCAGCAGCCGCGGUAAU
rnacentral:rRNA from 1 species